AGAUGUGAAAUAGAUAUUACUAUAUUUGAUUACGGUUCAAAAUGAUUAACAUCUU
rnacentral:tRNA from 1 species